rnacentral:rRNA from 1 species
AAAUUGAAGAGUUUGAUCAUGGCUCAGAUUGAACGCUGGCGGCAGGCCUAACACAUGCAAGUCGAACGGUAACAGGAAGCGCUUGCUGCUUCGCUGACGAGUGGCGGACGGGUGAGUAAUGUCUGGGAAACUGCCUGAUGGAGGGGGAUAACUACUGGAAACGGUAGCUAAUACCGCAUAACGUCGCAAGACCAAAGAGGGGGACCUUCGGGCCUCUUGCCAUCGGAUGUGCCCAGAUGGGAUUAGCUUGUUGGUGGGGUAACGGCUCACCAAGGCGACGAUCCCUAGCUGGUCUGAGAGGAUGACCAGCCACACUGGAACUGAGACACGGUCCAGACUCCUACGGGAGGCAGCAGUGGGGAAUAUUGCACAAUGGGCGCAAGCCUG